rnacentral:rRNA from 1 species
AGGACGAACGCUGGCGGUGUGCUUAACACAUGCAAGUGGAGCGACGAACCAGGGCUUGCCCUGGGGCAGAGCCGCGAACGGGUGAGUAACACGUGGGUAACCUACCCCGAUGACCGGGACAACCCGAGGAAACUCGGGCUAAUACCGGAUGUGUCCCAUCUUCACGAGAGGAUGGAGCAAAGGAAGCUUCGGCCUCCGCAUUGGGAGGGCCCGCGGCCCAUUAGCUAGUUGGUGGGGUAAUGGCCUACCAAGGCAGCGAUGGGUAGCUGGUCUGAGAGGACGAUCAGCCACACUGGGACUGAGACACGGCCCAGACUCCUACGGGAGGCAGCAGUGGGGAAUCUUGCGCAAUGCGCGAAAGCGUGGACGCAGCAACACCGCGUGGAGGGAAGACGGCCUUCGGGUUAGUAAACCGUCUUUCUAGGAGGACGAAGGUGGACCGGUAGAAUAGCCGUGUGUCUGACGGUACCUCAGAAGAAGCUACCG